rnacentral:rRNA from 1 species
ACGCUAGCGAUAGGCUUAACACAUGCAAGUCGAGGGGCAGCAUGGUCUUAGCUUGCUAAGACUGAUGGCGACCGGCGCACGGGUGCGUAACGCGUAUGCAACUUGCCUCACAGAGGGGGAUAACCCGUCGAAAGACGGACUAAUACCGCGUACACUCUAUGUUGGGCAUCCAAUGUAGAGGAAAUGAAAUUCGCUGUGAGAUAGGCAUGCGUCCCAUUAGCUAGUUGGUGAGGUAACGGCUCACCAAGGCGACGAUGGGUAGGGGAACUGAGAGGUUGAACCCCCACACUGGUACUGAGACACGGACCAGACUCCUACGGGAGGCAGCAGUGAGGAAUAUUGGUCAAUGGGCGAGAGCCUGAACCAGCCAAGUCGCGUGAAGGAUGACUGUCUUAUGGAUUGUAAACUUCUUUUAUACGGGAAUAACAAGAGCCACGUGUGGCUCCCUGCAUGUACCGUAUGAAUAAGCAUCGGCUAACUCCGUGCCAGCAGCCGCGGUAAUACGGAGGAUGCGAGCGUUAUCCGGAUUUAUUGGGUUUAAAGGGUGCGUAGGCGGCCUGUUAAGUCAGCGGUGAAAUCUAGGAGCUUAACUCCUAAAUUGCCAUUGAUACUGGCGGGCUUGAGUGUAGAUGAGGUAGGCGGAAUGCGUGGUGUAGCGGUGGAAUGCAUAGAUAUCACGCAGAACUCCGAUUGCGAAGGCAGCUUACUAAGGUACAACUGACGCUGAAGCACGAAAGCGUGGGUAUCAAACAGGAUUAGAUACCCUGGUAGUCCACGCAGUAAACGAUGAUAACUGGGCGUAUGCGAUAUACAGUAUGCUCCUAAGCGAAAGCGUUAAGUUAUCCACCUGGGGAGUACGCCGGCAACGGUGAAACUCAAAGGAAUUGACGGGGGCCCGCACAAGCGGAGGAACAUGUGGUUU